UCCACUACUCAGUUGGUAGAGUGCAAAGCUCUUAACCUUGUGGACGCGGGUUCAAGCCCCAUGGUGGAG
rnacentral:tRNA from 1 species